GGCAUGGAAGUGCUGGGUCAGAGCAGUGACAAGACAGAGAGGCCCCCGCCUUCAGGGAGCUCAUGGCUUAUGUAGAGGAGGAGAGAAAGAGGCUGAAGAGAACGCAUUCAAUGGCGGGACCCAGAGGAGUUGAGAGAUCCAGAUGUAGAGCUCUCAGCUGCCUCUCUAGCCACGUCUGCCUGCAGGACACCAUACCCCCCCACCAUGAUGACAAUGGAGGACACCAUACUCCCCGCCAUGAUGACAAUGGAGGACACCAUACUCCCCGCCAUGAUGACAAUGGACUACACCUCUGAACAGCAAGCCAGUCCCAUUAAAUGUUGUCUUUUAUAAGAGUUGGCAUGGCAUUGGGAUUUCUUCACAGCAGUAAAACUUUAACCAAGACACAUAUACUUGUAGGUUUAUGUAUAUAAAUGUGAGCAUACCAUUUAUGUCUUUUUAGGUAGGACAUCAUCCCAACAGCCCUAUGUAAUGGUCAUCAUUAUGUCUUUCUGUUGGACGAACUUAGAAUGAUUAAAGUCUGUGUUCUAGGACUUGCAUUUA